rnacentral:rRNA from 1 species
AUUGAACGCUGGCGGCAGGCCUAACACAUGCAAGUCGAGCGGCAGCGGGAAGUAGCUUGCUACUUUGCCGGCGAGCGGCGGACGGGUGAGUAAUGUCUGGGAAACUGCCUGAUGGAGGGGGAUAACUACUGGAAACGGUAGCUAAUACCGCAUAACGUCGCAAGACCAAAGAGGGGGACCUUCGGGCCUCUUGCCAUCAGGUGUGCCCAGAUGGGAUUAGCUAGUAGGUGGGGUAACGGCUCACCUAGGCGACGAUCCCUAGCUGGUCUGAGAGGAUGACCAGCCACACUGGAACUGAGACACGGUCCAGACUCCUACGGGAGGCAGCAGUGGGGAAUAUUGCACAAUGGGCGCAAGCCUGAUGCAGCCAUGCCGCGUGUAUGAAGAAGGCCUUCGGGUCGUAAAGUACUUUCAGCGGGGAGGAAGGUGUUGUGGUUAAUAACCACAGCAAUUGACGUUACCCGCAGAAGAAGCACCGGCUAACUCCGUGCCAGCAGCCGCCGUAA